rnacentral:rRNA from 1 species
GACAGAGGUGCCGAGCGUUAGGCGGAAUCACUGGGCUUAAAGCGCGUGUAGGCGGACCGUUAAGUGCCUCGUGAAAUCCCCCGGCUCAACCGGGGAACGGCGGGGCAUACUGGCGGUCUUGGGCCACCUAGGGGUCAUCGGAACAGGCGGUGGAGCAGUGAAAUGCGUAGAUAUCGCCUGGAACGCCGACGGUGAAAACAGAUGACUGGGGGUGUGCCGACGCUGAGACGCGAAAGCCAGGGGAGCGAACGGG